GACGUAGGGCGCGAGCGUUGUCCGGAUUUAUUGGGCGUAAAGAGCUCGUAGGCGGCUUGUCGCGUCGACCGUGAAACCCGUGGCUCAACUACGGGCUGGCGGUCGAUACGGGCAGGCUGGAGUUCGGUAGGGGAGACUGGAAUUCCUGGUGUGAGCGGUGAAAUGCGUAGAUAUCGAGAGGAACACCUGCGGCGAAGGCGGGUUGCUGGGCUGACACUGACGCUGAUGCGCGAAAGCCAGGGAGCAAACGGG
rnacentral:rRNA from 1 species